rnacentral:tRNA from 1 species
GCCCUACUCCAGGUGCCCGUUGACGUCGGAGACGGCCGCCGGAGCCGUGUGCGCAGGUUCGAAUCCUGCCGAGGGCG